GAUUGGAGAAAAAGCUGCGCUUUUUAAAGCUUGCCUACCUACUAUUCCUAUUCUUCGUUUCUCUGUUCUGGAUGAUUUGGAGUAUUGCAGAUGAACCUGAGUAAUCUGGAAUUAUUGCAUCUGACAAGCAUGCUGCUGUACUUUCGAUGGAUUACACUA